GAGGAAUUGAACAAGGUGAGGUGAAGAGACGGUUGAAGUGACUCAGGACUUAUUUUGUUGCCUUUUGACUUCCGAUACCAUUUCCGGUGCGAACAGCAGCAUCCAUCUUUAAUCAUCACCUUUCCUGCGUGCGAGGACAGGAGCCACAGCAACCAGCACAACCACGGACUGAAGAUAUCAGGUCACACGGCUUCCUCAGGCCUCUGUGUGUUGGCCAUCACCACAGCAAUGGGAAUGUGGUGCAGCCCAACUGUUGGAACUACAGGGAUUCAGCCAUGCAGACCAGUAAAUCUCAACCUGGCUUCCAGGGAACUGCGGGGUUCCGCAAUAAGAAGUUUAAGAAGGUGCACAAACUUCCUUGUGAGACAGUUUGCCCACCACUAGUUUUCUCCAGCAGUACACCUGGAAAAGGGAGAUAAGCGGCCCAGCUGCAUGGGGGAGACUGCUGAAGCCAGGAACCGCUUGAGGCAUGUCCGCCCGGCCUUGAGAGACAUUAACAUCUCAGGCGGAGGUGUGAAAGAUCUACGUAUGAAAAGCCAAGGGGAGGGGGGAAGGAGUUGGAGAAAAGAAACUAUAAAAUACACUUUGUAGGGGGAGUUCAGCGCGGCUGGCUGACUCCAAGGCUGGGUGAUGUAUGAACUGUAGUUUUAGUUUUCUGGCUUGCUUUUUCUGGGUUCUUCUAUAUAUGCAUGUUUUAAUAGUUUUAGUAUGCUAAUCCCAUGUAACCUACCCAUUUCCAAAUAAAUGGUC